rnacentral:rRNA from 1 species
UACGUAGGGGGCAAGCGUUAUCCGGAUUUACUGGGUGUAAAGGGAGCGCAGACGGCAGUGCAAGUCUGGAGUGAAAGCCCGGGGCCCAACCCCGGGACUGCUCUGGAAACUGUACGGCUGGAGUACGGGAGGGGCAGGCGGAAUUCCUAGUGUAGCGGUGAAAUGCGUAGAUAUUAGGAGGAACACCGGCGGCGAAAGCGGCUCUCUGGCCUGUAACUGACACUGAGGCUCGAAAGCGUGGGGAGCAAACAGG